CAGCUUGUUGGUGAGGUAACGGCUCACCAAGGCAACGACGGGUAGCGGGACUGAGAGGUUGGCCCGCCACAUCGGGACUGAGACACUGCCCGGACCGCCACGGAGGGCUGCAGUAACGGAUAUUGGGCAAUGGGCGAAAGCCUGACCCAGCAAUGCCGCGUGCAGGAUGAAGCCCCUAGGGGUGUAAACUGCUGUCAGGGGUCAGAAAGCUGGUUUCGGCCAGUUGAUCAACCCCAGAGGAAGUCACGGCUAACUUCGUGCCAGCAGCCGCGGUAAUACGAAGGUGGCAAGCGUUAUUCGGAAUCAUUGGGCUUAAAGGGCACGCAGGCGGAACAGUGUGUGUUGUGUGAAAUCCCCCGGCUUAACCGGGGAAUUGCACAGCAAACUGCUGUUCUUGAGGCAGGUAGGGGUGCAUGGAACUCUUGGUGGAGCGGUGGAAUGCGUAGAUAUCAAGAGGAACGCCAGAGGUGAAGACGGUGCACUGGGCCUGUCCUGACGCUGAGGUGCGAAAGCGUGGGGAGCGAACGGGAUUAGAUACCCCGGUAGUCCACGCCGUAAACGAUGUCUACUAGGUCGUGGGUGUUCUGACACAUUCACGGCCGGAGCAAAAGUGUUUAGUAGACCGCCUGGGGAGUACGGCCGCAAGGUUAAAACUCAAAUGAAUUGACGGGGGCUCACACAAGCGGUGGAGCAUGUGGAUUAAUUCGAAGCAACGCGCAGAACCUUACCUGGGUUUGACAUGCUUGUAUGCCUUCUCUGAAAGGAGUUAGGUUGCCUUCGGGUGAAACUUGCACAGGUGCUGCAUGGCUGUCGUCAGCUCGUGUCGUGAGAUGUCGGGUUAAGUCCUUUAACGAGCGAAACCCUUGCCGUUAGUUGCCAGCGAGUAAUGUCGGGGACUCUAACGGGACUGCCGGUGUUAAACCGGAGGAAGGUGGGGAUGACGUCAAGUCCUCAUGGCCUUUAUGCCCAGGGCUUCACACGUGCUACAAUGGCAAUUACAGAGCGACGCGAUACCGCGAGGUGGAGCAAAUCGCAAAAAA
rnacentral:rRNA from 1 species